AGUGAACGCUGGCGGCGUGCCUAAUACAUGCAAGUCGAACGGAGUUUAAGUAGCUUGCUAUUUAAUCUUAGUGGCGCACGGGUGAGUAAUAUAUAGCUAACUUGCCCAUUACUAAGGGACAACAGUUGGAAACGACUGCUAAUACCUUAUACUCCGUAUCUAUAUAAGUAGAUACGGGAAAGUUUUUCGGUAAUGGAUAGGGCUAUAUCGUAUCAGCUAGUUGGUAAGGUAAUGGCUUACCAAGGCUAUGACGCGUAACUGGUCUGAGAGGAUGAUCAGUCACACUGGAACUGAGACACGGUCCAGACUCCUACGGGAGGCAGCAGUAGGGAAUAUUGCUCAAUGGGGGAAACCCUGAAGCAGCAACGCCGCGUGGAGGAUGACACUUUUCGGAGCGUAAACUCCUUUUCUUGGGAAAGAAUUAUGACGGUACCCAAGGAAUAAGCACCGGCUAACUCCGUG
rnacentral:rRNA from 1 species